UAAGACGGAGGGCGCAAGCGUUGUUCGGAAUUACUGGGCGUAAAGGGCGGGCAGGCGGUCCGUUAAGUCUUCUGUGAAAAUCCGGGGCUCAACCCCGCGAAAUGCAGGAGAUACUGGCGGACUAGAGACCGGUAGAGGCUAGCGGAAUUCCUGGUGUAGCGGUGGAAUGCGUAGAUAUCAGGAAGAACACCUGUGGCGAAGGCGGCUAGCUGGGCCGGAUCUGACGCUCAUCCGCGAAAGCGUGGGGAGCAAACAGGAUUAGAUACCCUGGUAGUCCACGCCGUAAACGAUGGGCACUAGGUACUGGGUCUAUAGACGGAUUCAGUGCCGCAGCUAACGCAUUAAGUGCCCCGCCUGGGGAGUACGGUCGCAAGGCUG
rnacentral:rRNA from 1 species